rnacentral:lncRNA from 1 species
UGGGACCCACAUGUCAGUUUCACAUAGAAAUUAUAAAAAAGGUGGGGUCCACGUGAGCCCCACAUGUCAGUUUCACACCGUCUUUAGGGACAUCUGGUGGGCCCCACGCUGGCCUUCACGGACAAGCAGCUCCUCGUCAUCCAGGACAUCGCGGCGGUGCUCUUCCCGGCCACUGAGCGCGUCCUCGGCAGGGCCGACGACCUCGUCCUCCUCAUCGAGUCCCUGCCCGGCAAGCUCACGACGCGAUCUACGGCAUCGAGGCCUUUGUCGCCGGCGCCGUGGGGCACCCGCUGGGGGCACGGCGGUGGUAGCGGGCGAGCACGGGGGAGCUCCCCAUCCCAUCCACUGUCUUCCUCUUCGCCUAGCUCGCCCUCCGCUGCUCUGCCCGCGGCCGCGCUCGCCCUCCGCUGCUUUGCCGACUGCUGCGCUCGCCCGCCGCCGCUCCUCCGCCACGCUUGCAUACUUUGUGUUAGUGGCUGGUUGCAGGAAGCAGGAACUCGAGAACUUGGAGGUCGUCACGGCGGACGACGGCGGCGGUGGCGGUGGCAACACCGUUACCGUGCAUGGCGACAAGGCUCCCGUUGACGGCAAAGGAGAGGCAGCGAGUCCGGCGAAACGCGCCGACGUAUCAGGUGGCCAAGAAUGCGGCGUGGUCUGCGUGGAGGAUGUACGGCGGGUGGACAUGCCAGCUGCAGAGAUCACGAAUGCCAUGAAGGACACGGAGAUCGUGAAGAAUAAGGACCAAGAGAGAGGAGGCAGCAAGAGGGAAGAAGAGGAG